rnacentral:rRNA from 1 species
AUUGAACGCUGGCGGCAGGCCUAACACAUGCAAGUCGAACGGUAACAGGGAUCAGCUUGCUGAUUCGCUGACGAGUGGCGGACGGGUGAGUAAUGUCUAGGAAACUGCCUGAUGGAGGGGGAUAACUACUGGAAACGGUAGCUAAUACCGCAUAACGUCGCAAGACCAAAGAGGGGGACCUUCGGGCCUCUUGCCAUCGGAUGUGCCCAGAUGGGAUUAGCUAGUAGGUGGGGUAACGGCUCACCUAGGCGACGAUCCCUAGCUGGUCUGAGAGGAUGACCAGCCACACUGGAACUGAGACACGGUCCAGACUCCUACGGGAGGCAGCAGUGGGGAAUAUUGCACAAAGGGCGCAAGCCUGAUGCAGCCAUGCCGCGUGUAUGAAGAAGGCCUUCGGGUUGUAAAGUACUUUCAGCGGGGAGGAAGGGAGUAAAGUUAAUACCUUUGCUCAUUGACGUUACCCGCAGAAGAAGCACCGGCUAACUCCGUG